rnacentral:lncRNA from 1 species
AAACUGUCCAUCAGUCAACGAUGAAUUCACAUAGAGCAAGGCUGACAACUGACCUGCUUGUGUCCCUCUGUCAGAAAUGGGGUCGGAGCCAUUCACCUGUGUCAAGCAGUGGAAAUGCUGUGGGAAGCAAAGUCAGCAGUCGAACCUUGCAGGAGGCAGCAGGAGGUGUGCAGUGAGGACACGCGUGUGACCACGGGACGUGGGACGAGGGGAGGCAUGGGAUAAGGAGAUGCGUAGAGUGAGGAUUUCUGUGGAGUGAGGUGAUGCGUGGAGUGAGGUGAUGCGUGGAGUGAGGAGAUGCGUGGAGUGAGGAGAUGCGUGGAGUGAGGAGAUGCGUGGAGUGAGGAGAUGUGUGGAGUGAGGAGAUGUGUGGAGUGAGGUGAUGUGUGGAGUGAGAUGCGUGCAGUGAGGAGAUGUGUGGAGUGAGGUGAUGUGUGGAGUGAGGUGAUGCGUGCAGUGAGGAGACGCGUGCAGUGAGGAGGUGAGUGGCGUGCGGAGUGGAGGGCUGGGAAACCACACCUGGGGCGGUUCUCCAGUUGCCCAAUCUUUAUCAAGCCCCUUCCUCCUCAUCUUUAAAACCAGAAGGCUGGCCAGUCAGUCUCUCAGGCCUCUCCCUGUUCUAGCCCCUGUGAUUCAGUAACAGCCCCACAGCUGCCAUAUCAGCCGGUUUUGCAGGGCUGAGCAUGGAAGGUGCCUGAGAGUGUGGCCAGCUCUCGGCAGGAGCAGGACUCUGCACUACAGGCUUCUAAGGCAGAAAAGCAUCUUCUGUCCACGACGACAAGGGUGUUUCCGCUGCAAGCGCUUCUCGCAUGCUUGAGACAACCUGACUGAGGGGUUGCCAGCAGGGGUGGGCACCAGCCGCACAACAAACCAAAUGACCUCUGCGGCCCAUUCCUUAAGACCGGGAACUCUGGACUAAAGUGUGCUGCCCUGUGUGCCCAGCAACCUGGCGACAGCAGUCGUUUCACACACAGCCCGAGCCCUGCUGUCCCUGGGGCACCAGCUUACCAGGGCCAUCUUCCCAGACAGCAGCAGCUCCGUCUCACUGCGCAGAGCUCUGAAGUUAUUCACCAUUUCCAGGACGAAGCUGCAGUUGAGCCCCUAGAAGAAACCAGGCAAAUAUGCAUGGGGGCGGGGGGCCGAACAUGCACGGUUAGGGGCAGGGAACAAGCACUGGGAGGGCCGAACAUGCACCGGGGAGGCGGGGGAAUGAACACGCACGGGGAGGGCCGAGGGCGGCAGACACUGAGAAGAAGCCAGGACUGAAAAGGCCAGAAUAGCUACCUCUGUGGUUCUGGGCUUGCCAUACACACGGUCCAUGGACUUGGAGCUGGCAUUGACGGCGUGGGCCAGUUCCUGCUCCAUGUCCCGGUGAGACUGAGCUAUUUCUCGGAUACUAGAGAGGAAGAGAAGCACGGGCAGAUGUCAGGCCAAAUGGAAGGGCAGCCUUUCACAAUACGCAUCUGAACACGGCCCAGGUACCACCUGGAGGGCUGAUGUGGAGGGCAGGCCCAGCAGGACGACAGGGAUCGUGGCUCAGCCCAGCGACCGUUCAGUCACAAGCUUGGGCACAGGAUGACCCACAGCAAAUGGGAGGGCUUCCACGAGAAAUCUGACGUCAAAAUCCAAGAUUUUCCAGGGAGAGAAAUGUACAAAAUGAGGCUUACAACCUGUAAAACGGCCAGUGGGCAAGUGACAGUGUGCACAGGCCCACUGCA